rnacentral:rRNA from 1 species
CCUACGGGGGGCAGCAGUGGGGAAUAUUGCACAAUGGGCGAAACCCUGAUGCAGCAACGCCGCGUGAAUGAUGAAGUCCUUAGGUAUGUAAAGCUCUUUUGGUAGGGAAGAAAAUGACGGUACGUGAGUAAUAAGCACCGGCUAACUACGUGCCAGCAGCCGCGGUAAUACGUAGGGGGCAAGCGUUAUUCGGAUUUACUGGGGGUAAAGGCUGCGUAGACGGGCGCGUAAGUCUGGUGUGAAAGCCUGGGGCUGAACCCCCGGACUGCAUUGGAAACUGUCAGUCUGGAGUGCAGUAGAGGUAAGUGGAAUUCGUGGUGUAGCGGUGAAAUGCGUAGAGAUUACGAGGAACAC